CGAGAGCCGCCUCGAGCUCCGGCUCCCUCGACCGAUCGACCUGUAGCCGCUCCCGCGACUCGCAGCCGCACCACCGCACCGCCAUGUGAUGGCCUGACGAGCUCGCCGGCGGCGCUCGUCCAAGCCCAACCGGCAGUUGUGGCUAGGAGUCCCUAGCACCGGAGCUCCUCCAGUCCUCCGCUGUGCGCUCCAAGUUUGGGGGCCGUGCGCUCCGCGCGGGCAAGGAGUGAGUCGGCCGGAGACGCGCGUCUGAGGAACGAGGGGUGGCGGCCGCCCGUCCCGGAGGAUCCCGUCGCUAGGAGAGUGCACACAUGUGGCCAGAGGAAGGGUAAUUACCCUCGUCGUUGCUGACCUCUGCUCCUCCCUCCGGUCGUUUUCGAUGCUCUGGAGGAGCCACGGUGUCCGCGCCAACGCUAAGCAGGCACACGCGAUGGAGCAGGCAAGCAGAGCCCACCCGCUUCGUAGAGCGCAGCCAACCAUUGCUCCUACAGGCGGAGCGGGCGUCAACACCGCCGAUGCCCAGCAGCUGCUCGACGAAAUGCUUUCAAGGAAAGCUGGCUUAUUGAACCAACGCUGGAUCAAGACAUCCCUCGGCUAUGUCUUACUCGCAUUCGAUGAAGAUUACUGCUGCUGCAAAUCGUCUUCUCUAGCUGUUGCUGUUCCUCAAUGCAUGGUGUCACUCUGUCGCAGCUCAGAGAGCAUGGAUACAAAAGACAGGACCUCUUAAGCUCCCAACACAAUCUAUGAUAAAUAUGUAAGGACGAAGACUCUGCAUCUGUACUAUAUAUCAUAACUAAUACUAUAUGACCUCUGAGUUUAUGAGUCCUGAUAGUCAGGUGGAUUUUGAAUGAUUGUUUACCUCAUAUACCAGUAAUCGAUUCUGAAGAAUGUAUAUGUUUCUAACAUACUUUGGAAUAAAUAAAACCUGAACGUUGAUUAA